GGGUUGUGAGGUUAAGCGACUAAGCGUACACGGUGGAUGCCCUGGCAGUCAGAGGCGAUGAAGGACGUGCUAAUCUGCGAUAAGCGUCGGUAAGGUGAUAUGAACCGUUAUAACCGGCGAUUUCCGAAUGGGGAAACCCAGUGUGAUUCGUCACACUAUCAUUAACUGAAUCCAUAGGUUAAUGAGGCGAACCGGGGGAACUGAAACAUCUAAGUACCCCGAGGAAAAGAAAUCAACCGAGAUUCCCCCAGUAGCGGCGAGCGAACGGGGAGCAGCCCAGAGCCUGAAUCAGUGUGUGUGUUAGUGGAAGCGUCUGGAAAGGCGCGCGAUACAGGGUGACAGCCCCGUACACAAAAAUGCACAUGCUGUGAGCUCGAUGAGUAGGGCGGGACACGUGGUAUCCUGUCUGAAUAUGGGGGGACCAUCCUCCAAGGCUAAAUACUCCUGACUGACCGAUAGUGAACCAGUACCGUGAGGGAAAGGCGAAAAGAACCCCGGCGAGGGGAGUGAAAAAGAACCUGAAACCGUGUACGUACAAGCAGUGGGAGCACGCUUAGGCGUGUGACUGCGUACCUUUUGUAUAAUGGGUCAGCGACUUAUAUUCUGUAGCAAGGUUAACCGAAUAGGGGAGCCGAAGGGAAACCGAGUCUUAACUGGGCGUUAAGUUGCAGGGUAUAGACCCGAAACCCGGUGAUCUAGCCAUGGGCAGGUUGAAGGUUGGGUAACACUAACUGGAGGACCGAACCGACUAAUGUUGAAAAAUUAGCGGAUGACUUGUGGCUGGGGGUGAAAGGCCAAUCAAACCGGGAGAUAGCUGGUUCUCCCCGAAAGCUAUUUAGGUAGCGCCUCGUGAAUUCAUCUCCGGGGGUAGAGCACUGUUUCGGCAAGGGGGUCAUCCCGACUUACCAACCCGAUGCAAACUGCGAAUACCGGAGAAUGUUAUCACGGGAGACACACGGCGGGUGCUAACGUCCGUCGUGAAGAGGGAAACAACCCAGACCGCCAGCUAAGGUCCCAAAGUCAUGGUUAAGUGGGAAACGAUGUGGGAAGGCCCAGACAGCCAGGAUGUUGGCUUAGAAGCAGCCAUCAUUUAAAGAAAGCGUAAUAGCUCACUGGUCGAGUCGGCCUGCGCGGAAGAUGUAACGGGGCUAAACCAUGCACCGAAGCUGCGGCAGCGACACUUUGUGUUGUUGGGUAGGGGAGCGUUCUGUAAGCCUGUGAAGGUGUGCUGUGAGGCAUGCUGGAGGUAUCAGAAGUGCGAAUGCUGACAUAAGUAACGAUAAAGCGGGUGAAAAGCCCGCUCGCCGGAAGACCAAGGGUUCCUGUCCAACGUUAAUCGGGGCAGGGUGAGUCGACCCCUAAGGCGAGGCCGAAAGGCGUAGUCGAUGGGAAACAGGUUAAUAUUCCUGUACUUGGUGUUACUGCGAAGGGGGGACGGAGAAGGCUAUGUUGGCCGGGCGACGGUUGUCCCGGUUUAAGCGUGUAGGCUGGUUUUCCAGGCAAAUCCGGAAAAUCAAGGCUGAGGCGUGAUGACGAGGCACUACGGUGCUGAAGCAACAAAUGCCCUGCUUCCAGGAAAAGCCUCUAAGCAUCAGGUAACAUCAAAUCGUACCCCAAACCGACACAGGUGGUCAGGUAGAGAAUACCAAGGCGCUUGAGAGAACUCGGGUGAAGGAACUAGGCAAAAUGGUGCCGUAACUUCGGGAGAAGGCACGCUGAUAUGUAGGUGAAGUCCCUUGCGGAUGGAGCUGAAAUCAGUCGAAGAUACCAGCUGGCUGCAACUGUUUAUUAAAAACACAGCACUGUGCAAACACGAAAGUGGACGUAUACGGUGUGACGCCUGCCCGGUGCCGGAAGGUUAAUUGAUGGGGUCAGCGCAAGCGAAGCUCUUGAUCGAAGCCCCGGUAAACGGCGGCCGUAACUAUAACGGUCCUAAGGUAGCGAAAUUCCUUGUCGGGUAAGUUCCGACCUGCACGAAUGGCGUAAUGAUGGCCAGGCUGUCUCCACCCGAGACUCAGUGAAAUUGAACUCGCUGUGAAGAUGCAGUGUACCCGCGGCAAGACGGAAAGACCCCGUGAACCUUUACUAUAGCUUGACACUGAACAUUGAGCCUUGAUGUGUAGGAUAGGUGGGAGGCUUAGAAGUGUGGACGCCAGUCUGCAUGGAGCCGACCUUGAAAUACCACCCUUUAAUGUUUGAUGUUCUAACGUUGACCCGUAAUCCGGGUUGCGGACAGUGUCUGGUGGGUAGUUUGACUGGGGCGGUCUCCUCCUAAAGAGUAACGGAGGAGCACGAAGGUUGGCUAAUCCUGGUCGGACAUCAGGAGGUUAGUGCAAUGGCAUAAGCCAGCUUGACUGCGAGCGUGACGGCGCGAGCAGGUGCGAAAGCAGGUCAUAGUGAUCCGGUGGUUCUGAAUGGAAGGGCCAUCGCUCAACGGAUAAAAGGUACUCCGGGGAUAACAGGCUGAUACCGCCCAAGAGUUCAUAUCGACGGCGGUGUUUGGCACCUCGAUGUCGGCUCAUCACAUCCUGGGGCUGAAGUAGGUCCCAAGGGUAUGGCUGUUCGCCAUUUAAAGUGGUACGCGAGCUGGGUUUAGAACGUCGUGAGACAGUUCGGUCCCUAUCUGCCGUGGGCGCUGGAGAACUGAGGGGGGCUGCUCCUAGUACGAGAGGACCGGAGUGGACGCAUCACUGGUGUUCGGGUUGUCAUGCCAAUGGCACUGCCCGGUAGCUAAAUGCGGAAGAGAUAAGUGCUGAAAGCAUCUAAGCACGAAACUUGCCCCGAGAUGAGUUCUCCCUGACCCUUUAAGGGUCCUGAAGGAACGUUGAAGACGACGACGUUGAUAGGCCGGGUGUGUAAGCGCAGCGAUGCGUUGAGCUAACCGGUACUAAUGAACCGUGAGGCUUAACCUUACAACGCCGAAGGUGUUU
rnacentral:rRNA from 1 species